rnacentral:lncRNA from 1 species
GGUGGGACCUGGCUGAGGGUGUCCAGCUCACAAACAGAGCCUGUCUCUCCCAGAGUCACUUGUGGUGGGUGGGAGGCUCACGGGAGCCCCAGGCCCCCUGCAUGACCUCAGGAGGGGCUGCUGGCUGAGUGGAGACCCCCAGGUGGGGCUGCUGCUGGGACCAGCACCAGAGGGACAAGGGUGACGGAGGGAGGCAGUGGGACCAUCUGGCCCUGGGUUCCUCCCUCCCUUCCCCUCCAGGCCUCAGCUGCAGCUCUUGGCCACUGGGCCCCCGUGUGGACACUGUCUCUGAUCAGGCCCAGGUUGCCUCACGGACUGUUUGCUGUGACGUAGCACAGCCCUCUGUCUUCCCACCUUCGGGGUGUCUCAGUUGUCUGCUCACUGGUUGGCUCCAUGCCGAGCAGACUCGACGCACGUCAGUGCUGGCUGUGGUGGCACCAUCGCAGUGACCUCCCUCUUGGUGAAGGGGGUUCUGCUGUUCCCAGGAAGCUGCUGACUGCUCCUGGGUGUGCCUGACAUGCAGCUGCUCUCUUCGAGGGGUGGGCACGGGCACCCUCAGGCCUGAGGCUCUGCCGUCCUCACUGCUGA